AGGAUUAACGCUGGCGGCGUGCCUAACACAUGCAAGUCGAACGAGGUAGCAAUACCUAGUGGCAGACGGGUGAGUAACGCGUGGUCAACCUACCGUUGAGUGGGGGAUAACUAGCCGAAAGGUUAGCUAAUACCGCAUACGUCUCCGAGGGGCAUCCCUUGGCGAUAAAAGGAGCAAUCCGCUCGAUGACGGGACCGCGUCCCAUUAGCUAGAUGGUGGGGUAACGGCCUACCAUGGCACCGAUGGGUAGCUGGUUUGAGAGAGCGACCAGCCACACUGGGACUGAGAAACGGCCCAGACUCCUACGGGAGGCAGCAGUGAGGAAUUUUCCGCAAUGGGCGCAAGCCUGACGGAGCGACGCCGCGUGUGGGAAGAAGGGCCUUCGGGUCGUAAACCGACUGUCGAAGGGACGAGUAAUGACGGUACCCUUGGAGGAAGCCCCGGCUAACACGUGCCAGCAGCCGC
rnacentral:rRNA from 1 species